AUAGGGGAGCCGUAGGGAAACCGAGUCUUAACCGGGCGUUAAGUUGCAGGGUAUAGACCCGAAACCCGGUGAUCUAGCCAUGGGCAGGUUGAAGGUUGGGUAACACUAACUGGAGGACCGAACCGACUAAUGUUGAAAAAUUAGCGGAUGACCUGUGGCUGGGGGUGAAAGGCCAAUCAAACCGGGAGAUAGCUGGUUCUCCCCGAAAGCUAUUUAGGUAGCGCCUCGUGAAUUCAUCUCCGGGGGUAGAGCACUGUUUCGGCUAGGGGGCCAUCCCGGCUUACCAACCCGAUGCAAACUGCGAAUACCGGAGAAUGUUAUCACGGGAGACACACGGCGGGUGCUAACGUCCGUCGUGAAGAGGGAAACAACCCAGACCGCCAGCUAAGGUCCCAAAGUCAUGGUUAAGUGGGAAACGAUGUGGGAAGGCCCAGACAGCCAGGAUGUUGGCUUAGAAGCAGCCAUCAUUUAAAGAAAGCGUAAUAGCUCACUGGUCGAGUCGGCCUGCGCGGAAGAUGUAACGGGGCUAAACCAUGCACCGAAGCUGCGGCAGCGAACGUAUCACCCAAGACAACUUUGCGGAGUUGACGAUUGACGGAGCGAAGCGACGUCAAAGCGUUCAUUAAAGUCGAGUUGGCUUAGGGAUACGUUCGUUGGGUAGGGGAGCGUUCUGUAAGCCUGUGAAGGUGGCCUGUGAGGGUUGCUGGAGGUAUCAGAAGUGCGAAUGCUGACAUAAGUAACGAUAAAGCGGGUGAAAAGCCCGCUCGCCGGAAGACCAAGGGUUCCUGUCCAACGUUAAUCGGGGCAGGGUGAGUCGACCCCUAAGGCGAGGCCGAAAGGCGUAGUCGAUGGGAAACGGGUUAAUAUUCCCGUACUUGGUGUUACUGCGAAGGGGGGACGGAGAAGGCUAUGUUGGCCGGGCGACGGUUGUCCCGGUUUAAGCGUGUAGGUGUGUGUUCCAGGUAAAUCCGGUUCACUUUAACACUGAGGCGUGACGACGAGGCACUACGGUGCUGAAGCAACAAAUGCCCUGCUUCCAGGAAAAGCCUCUAAGCAUCAGGUAACAUCAAAUCGUACCCCAAACCGACACAGGUGGUCAGGUAGAGAAUACCAAGGCGCUUGAGAGAACUCGGGUGAAGGAACUAGGCAAAAUGGUGCCGUAACUUCGGGAGAAGGCACGCUGACACGUAGGUGAAGUGAUUUACUCAUGGAGCUGAA
rnacentral:rRNA from 1 species